GUGUUGCUCACAAGCUUUUAUUUUGUAAAAGUCUGCUACUGAUUGCUGCGGAACCGGAAAAGAAAGUCAUUCGCGGUUUAACAACAUGGAGAAUCUCAACAAAUGACGGCAGGUAUGAGACUCAAGACACACGUCACACGGAGAAUACACGAGCUGGAUGAAAGGAGAGGACUGCAAAGGACAGCUUCACAACGUGCUGCUGCUCUCUGGGGACGACUGGACAUCGGGGGACCAGACGUCCUCUUUCCCGGACACGUCCUGCUUCUGAGACCUAAAGAAUGCGUCCGGCAGGGAUUCCAAAAACGUCAGGAUUUUGCUUCGUCGGAUAUUUGUGUUUCUCUGGGUUUUCACAAACUCGUAUUUACCCCUUACAAGUUUUGGAAAUGGUAUCUCCCAGUAUAGAGCACAGUCAUUGGUCGACCGAUCUCAGGGUUGCCAGAUACACGAUAAUUAUCCUCCAAAUACAACCAUUUUGAGCCUUUGGUACGAUACUUCACCAUCUCCAACCUGGCAACACGGAGCACCUCGCCGCCUCCACUAGUUCAUUGUUGUUUGUGCUAUAAACUCCUCCCAGCGCCGCCGCUCCCAUAAUGCACUACGCGCUGUGGGAGGGCACCAAGUCCUGAGGGGCUCCACAAAAUAGGCAACUAAAAAAUCCUCAUAGUUAUAAUAAUUAUAAUGCCGAUAUUAUUUCAGUCUAGAAAUAUUAGGCACCUUUUAGGCAUGUAUAUCACAAAACAGGCAGAACAAGAGAGAUGUUUAAUCUCAGCCCCCCCCCCCCCCCCCAGACGAAGUGUCCUCUUUUUCACAAACUCAAAUCUGGUCACCCUACUGGACAUCACUCUGUAACCACAAUGACCUCGGAGUGACUGUGCAUUAUAUUGAUGAGAAGUGGGCGCUGCAUUCACACGCCCUGACUGAUGAACACAGAGGAGAGACAUGAUGCUGAAACGUGCGCGGGACACUUUACUGAAGUUGCACAGCAGUGGAAUGUGUCAGAUAAAGUCACCACACUGAGCACAGAGCACCAGAGAUGAUCGCUGCUGCGAGACGACUGCCUUUGAUCAUGUCCCUGCUUCAGUCUCCAGCGCUCUGUCACAGUGUCUCUGCAUAACUGCGUUGGACAAUGUCCUGACAGAUUUUAUGGCACUUUAGUUCAUAUGGCAGAACAUUUAAAAUAAAAGUGCGCUAUACACUACUUUUGAAUUAAUUAUUGGAUUUUGCGUAUACAAAUGCGAUUAAUCGUGAUUAAUCAGGGAAAUCAUGCGAUUAAUCGCGAUAAAA